UCGGACGUGGUGCAUGGCGCACACCCGUGUCAAGUGGGAGAAGUGAGGACAAGUGAAAGCGGGAGAACCGGGUUCGAUUCCCGGCGUUCGAA